UUUUCUCGUUGAAACAGAGAGAGCAUAAGAAUUGAGUAUUUGAAACACUAGUAACCUCAUUUAACUUGCAGAAGAAACACCUUCCCUAAAUCAAUCUCGGAACAUUGCUCAGCUGGAAGCCAUCCAAAACGAUGCGUACUCAUCUAGACUAGGGUCCCAUGGAGCCCCAAACCAAUCCCCACCAUGAAGCCUAGUCUCAUAGUAAAACAAAAUCGAAGCUCAUAGUGUUCCUCAAUGAUCUGUAUGCUUUUUUGGUAUUUUCUUCCAACUUAUUGUUUUGUUUCUUGUGAUGAUGAUGUGAUCUUAUCGAAUGCCAAGUAAUUCUCAAUCAGUGCGACGUAUGCAGUUGAUUUGGCAACCUCAAUCAAAACCAACCAAAUGUGUUGGUGUUGAGACUGAAUCGUCUGAAUCCCUUCAAGCCUCUUCUUCUAAAACCACAAACCCUGAUGAAAUCAAAGAAUUCUCUUCAUCUCCGAUUCACUCUCUUCAUCUUCAAAUACUCGAAAUAGUUUCUCCUUACACCACUGAGUAUAUCUGGCAACAUGAACCUCUCACUCUUACUGUCUCAAACCCUUCUGAAACUCCUCCUCACUUUCAUGGAAAACCAAGUACGGUGAUAAUCUUGAAGACGAAUGGUUUAUUGUACUUCUUCUCUUUGAAAUUUCAAGAAACAUCACUCUAUUCAAGUUUGGGAUACUGGUGGAGAAUUUCUUCUAAUUGAAGCUGCGUUUUAUCCGCCUAAUUGGUUAAACCCUGAAACAAACAAGAGUUACCAUUACUAAAAUGGAGAAAUUUGCAAGUGGUGGAACUAGCGAAGAAAUUGUGCAAUGUAUGCACAAUUAGUUCAGCAAACUUUUCAAGCACCCAAAUGUUAUCCAAUGCCGUCUAGGAAUGAUGCUUCUGUUUAUGUUGAAGCUGAACUGGGUAUGAAAAUAGCAUGUGGGUUUGAAAUGAUGUAUCAACAAAGACGCCAUGAAAAUUUGGAUGGUAAGGGAACUACUUUCUGGAUCAAAAGAACAUCGUCGACUCAUGGAAAAUGCUCAAGAGUAUUAUAGAAACAGUUCUUCCUUAACCCGGGCAAGAUAUUGUUAUUUUCGCAUAAACAGCUUCCAGUUUGCAUGCUCUUUCAAUUCAUUUUGUGCUGUAAGUUGUACUAGUAGUUUCCGUGCUCAUCAUGUUGGGUGUUUGAAUGUUUUGUUUCAGUGAAAUGAUGAGUGCUCCAGUUAGAUGUAUUGACGAAAUCUUUGCUUUGCCCCACUCCUCUGAAGAAUUUAAGGGUCUUGAUCUUCCUCCUUCAGGUAAUGAUGCUUGGCUUUACGAUGGUGAAGAUGAGUUAAAAUUGGCCAUGGUGGAAAGAGAGAAAGAGUUGGAGCUCUACAAAUUAAAAGAGUCAAAAGGCAAAAGAAUAUAAAGGUGCGGAUUGUUCUGCUGAAAGUGCGGUAAAUGACUCUGAUAUUGUAAAUUCAAUGCAAUCAUUUGUCCAAAAGGUUUCGAGCUAUGAGGGUGCAGAGGUCCCUACAAACAGGUCUGUAAACUGUCAUAGCACCAUUAUCUACACUAUAGUCUAUAAGUAUGUUUUGUGUCAUGUACACAUGAACACCUGUAUCAUGCUUUGUUAAACUCAACGAGCUCAGUGAAGAGCCUCCUUGAUUC